AUUGAACGCUGGCGGCAGGCCUAACGCAUGCAAGUCGAACGAGCGGCGGACGGGUGAGUAAUGUAUGGGGACUGCCCGCUCGCUGGGGAUCACUACUGGAAACGGUCGCUAAUUACGCAUACUAUCGGAUAACCCAUAUGGGAGUAGCUAGUCGGUGAGGUAAUGGCGCACCUAGGCGACGAUCCCUAGCUGGUCUGAGAGGAUGAUCAGCAACACUGUGACGUAGAAAAGGGCCCUAAUCCGAAGGAGGCAGCGUUGGGGAAUAUUGGGCAAUGGGCGCAAGCCUGAUGCAGGAAGGGCGGGUGACUCAAGAAGGCCCUAGGGUUGUAAAGUACUAUAAUUCGGGGGGCGUUACCGACAGAAGAAGCACCGGCUAACUCCGUGCCAGCAGCCGCGGUAAUUC
rnacentral:rRNA from 1 species